rnacentral:rRNA from 1 species
UAAAGAGCGCAAGGGGAAUGCCUUGGCAUCAGGAGCCGAUGAAGGACGCGACAAGCUGCGAAAAGCUUCGGGGAGCUGCAAAUAAGCGAUGAUCCGGAGAUAUCCGAAUGGGGAAACCCGGCAGAGCAAUACUCUGUCAGCGUGCUAUGAAUAAAAUAGUAGUACGUGGGGAACCGCCUGAACUGAAACAUCUAAGUAGGGCGAGGAAAAGACAUCAACAGAGAUUCCGCAAGUAGUGGCGAGCGAACGCGGAGGAGGCCAAACCGAGGGUCUUUCGGGAUCUUCGGGGUUAGGACUUGCAUCAUGAUCAGGAAAAUCUAGCUAAACGGUGUGGGAAAGCCGACCACAGAGGGUGAGAGUCCCGUAAGCGAAAGAGAAACCUGACAGCGAGUAUCCAGAGUACCGCCGGACACGUGAAACCCGGUGGGAACGUGGGUGGACCACCAUCCAAGCCUAAAUACUACCUGAUGACCGAUAGAGGAACAGUACCGUGAGGGAAAGGUGAAAAGAACCCCGGGAGGGGAGUGAAACAGUACCUGAAACCUUGUGCUUACAAGCAGCCAGAGCCCGUUAAUGGGUGAUGGCGUACCUUUUGUAGAAUGGUCCGGCGAGUUAUAGUAACUGGCAAGGUUAAGCUAUUCAGUAGCGGAGCCGCAGGGAAACCGAGUGUUAAUAGCGCGUAUGAAGUCAGUUGCCAUAGACCUGAAACCGGGUGACCUAUCCAUGAGCAGGUUGAAGUUGAGGUAAAACUCAAUGGAGGACCGAACGCACGUUCGUUGCAAUGACCGGCGAUGACUUGUGGAUAGCGGAGAAAUUCCAAUCGAACUCGGAGAUAGCUGGUUCUCCCCGAAAUAGCUUUAGGGCUAGCGUUAUAUUAGAUUACCGGAGGUAGAGCACUGAAUUGGCUAGGGGGCGAUGAGCUUACUGAACCUUAUCAAACUCCGAAUGCCGGAUAAUCGAUGUAUAGCAGUCAGACAGUGUGAGAUAAGUUUCAUUGUCGAGAGGGAAACAGCCCAGACCCACAGCUAAGGUCCCAAAUUUAUGCUAAGUGGAAAACGAUGUGAAGUUGCAAAAACAACCAGGAUGUUGGCUUAGAGGCAGCCACUCAUUAAAAGAGUGCGUAAUAGCUCACUGGUCGAGUGACUUUGCGCGGAAAAUUCAACGGGGCUAAGCGUUAAACCGAAGCUUGGGAUACACUAAUGUGUAUGGUAGGGGAGCGUAGUGUACGGGGUGAAGCAUGAGCGAGAGCACGUGUGGACUGUACAGUAGUGAGAAUGCCGGAAUGAGUAGCGAGAAUUAUGUGGGAAUCAUAAUGGCCGAAAAUCUAAGGUUUCUUGGGGAAGGUUCGUCCGCCCAAGGUAAGUCGGGAGCUAAGGCGAGGCCGAGAGGCGUAGUCGAUGCACAUACGGUUGAAAUUCCGUAACCACCGAAAUUUAAGCACAGGGACACAUAGAGAUAGCCGAACCCGGGCGUUGGUUGACCCGGGCGUAAGGGACCGAACUAUAGUAGGGAAGUCGGCGAUGCUCUGUGGCGAGAAAAGCUGUGAGGAAUACUAAGGUGCCCGUACCGCAAACCGACACAGGUAGAUGGGGAGAGAAUCCUAAGGCCAACGGGAGAAGGGUUGUCAAGGAACUCGGCAAAUUGACCCCGUAACUUCGGAAAAAGGGGAGCCCCCUGAGGGGGGCCGCAGCGAAUAGGCUCAAGCGACUGUUUACCAAAAACACAGGUCUCUGCUAAAUCGAAAGAUGACGUAUAGGGGCUGACGCCUGCCCGGUGCCGGAAGGUUAAGAGGAGGGCUUAGCGCAAGCGAAGGUCUGAAUUGAAGCCCCGGUAAACGGCGGCCGUAACUAUAACGGUCCUAAGGUAGCGAAAUUCCUUGUCAGGUAAGUUCUGACCCGCACGAAUGGCGUAACGACUUGAGCACUGUCUCGACAGCCCGCCCGGCGAAAUUGUUGUACCGGUGAAGAAGCCGGUUACCCGCAACUAGACGGAAAGACCCCAUGGAGCUUUACUGUAGCUUAAUAUUGAAGAUUGGUAAUGCAUGUAUAGGAUAGGUGGGAGCCUAUGAAGCCCAGGCGUCAGCUUGGGUGGAGGCAUCCUUGGAAUACCACCCUUGUGUUGCUGGUUUUCUAACCUGCGGCCGUGAAUCCGGUCGGGGGACAUUGUUAGGCGGGCAGUUUGACUGGGGCGGUCGCCUCCAAAAGAGUAACGGAGGCGCUCAAAGGUUAGCUCAGCACGGACGGAAACCGUGCCUUAGAGUGCAAACGCGCAAGCUAGCCUGACUGCGAGGCUGACGGGCCGAGCAGGAACGAAAGUUGGAGUUAGUGAUCCGGCGGUAUGUGAAUGGAAAUGCCGUCGCUCAACGGAUAAAAGCUACCCUGGGGAUAACAGGCUGAUCUCCCCCAAGCGUCCACAGCGACGGGGAGGUUUGGCACCUCGAUGUCGGCUCGUCACAUCCUGGGGCUGAAUUCGGUCCCAAGGGUUCGGCUGUUCGCCGAUUAAAGUGGCACGCGAGCUGGGUUCAGAACGUCGUGAGACAGUUCGGUCCCUAUCUGUUGCGGGCGUAGGAGAUUUGAAGGGAGCUGUCCUUAGUACGAGAGGACCGGGAUGGACUGACCUCUGGUGCACCAGUUGUCGUGCCAACGGCACAGCUGGGUAGCUAAGUCGGGACGAGAUAAACGCUGAAAGCAUCUAAGCGUGAAGCUCCCCCUAAGAUAAGAUCUCCCAUCUCUUCGGAGAGUAAGGGUCGAUGUAGACUACAUCGUUGAUAGGUCAGAAGUGUACGCACAGCAAUGUGUUCAGCUUACUGAUACUAAUAGCCCGAGGGCUUGACCU